rnacentral:lncRNA from 1 species
UUUUUUUUUAAAGGUGUAAGAUCUGGGACUACAUUCUAUUUUCUGUAAAUUGUGCAGAGCAAGUGUGUGGUGACCGUUUUUUCCCCCUCGGAUUUUAAUCUACUGGAUAUGCCCAUAGAGUUUGCAGGAAUAACGGCUGGUUCUGGAAGCUGUUGGAGAUGUGAGAUAAAGAAAGGGAUGAAGGAAAUUUUAAUACAGUGGUUCUCAAACUGGGGUCC